rnacentral:rRNA from 1 species
UUGGGAAUAUUGCGCAAUGGACGAAAGUCUGACGCAGCGACGCCGCGUGAUCGAUGAAGUCUUUCGGGAUGUAAAGAUCUUUUUUCUGGGAAAAUUAUGAUUGUACCAGAAGAAUAAGCAUCGGCUAACUACGUGCCAGCAGCCGCGGUAAUACGUAGGAUGCAAGCGUUAUCCGGAAUUAUUGGGCGUAAAGGGCUUGUAGGCGGUUUUAUAAGUUUCCAAUUAAAUCUUGAGGCUUAACCUCAAAACUAUUGGAUAUACUGUAAGACUUGAGGAUAAUCGGGGCAAACGGAAUUCCCGGUGUAGCAGUGAAAUGCGUUGAUAUCGGGAGGAACAUCAAUGGCGAAGGCAGUUUGCUAGGUUAUAUCUGACGCUGAGGAGCGAAAGCGUGGGGAGCGAAAAGG